rnacentral:lncRNA from 1 species
GAGACACUGUACAUGAAGUUUCCAGAACCAGCCAUGUCCAUUUUACUAAUCAAGACUCUUUCCGUUAAACCUGCAACUCAAAUGACUUUAAGGAAAAAUGGAUUUCAUUGAUUCACAUAACUAUCACUCAAGGAGUAACUUUCAACAUAGUGAGAUCCUGAGGCUCAAAUAUUAUUACCCCAAACAACCUUCAGUACAUAAGUAAUGGCUGCUGGAUGUAACUUGCAAUUGAGUGGCAGGUCUGCAAGGAAAGAAUUCCAAAUAGAGGACUUUCUGAAAGCCUAAUUAUACAUAUUGAAUGUAACAAAAGGAAAAUAGUUUUUAAGGGUUCCAUGAACUGCUUCCUCUGACAUGAGAUCUAACAAGGCUAAAGACUAAAAUGCAGUUGUUUACAGCGUAAGUAGGAGGCCGUCCCGUGCAGGGCAAAAUCAACAGAGAGGAGACAGUCCUAUGCCUUCGAGAGACAGUCUGCUGAUACUGUCAUGAUGUCUAGUGACAGGCCAGAGAUCAAAACCCAACACCCUCAUUUACCUGACAGUGAUUUGGCCAAUCAC